UACGUAGGGUGCGAGCGUUGUCCGGAAUUACUGGGCGUAAAGAGCUCGUAGGUGGUUUGUCGCGUUGUUCGUGAAAACUCACAGCUCAACUGUGGGCGUGCGGGCGAUACGGGCAGACUGGAGUACUGCAGGGGAGACUGGAAUUCCCGGUGUAGCGGUGGAAUGCGCAGAUAUCAGGAGGAACACCGGUGGCGAAGGCGGGUCUCUGGACAGUUCCUGACACUGAGGCACGAAGGCCAGGGGAGCAAACGGG
rnacentral:rRNA from 1 species